AUUGAACGCUGGCGGCAGGCCUAACACAUGCAAGUCGAGCGAGCGGCGGACGGGUGAGUAAUGUAUGGGGAUCUGCCCGAUAGAGGGGGAUAACUACUGGAAACGGUGGCUAAUACCGCAUACUAUCGGAUGUACCCAGAUGGGAUUAGCUAGUAGGUGGGGUAAAGGCUCACCUAGGCGACGAUCCCUAGCUGGUCUGAGAGGAUGAACAGCCACACUGGAACUGAGACACGGGCCAGACUCCUACGGGAGGCAGCAGUGGGGAAUAUUGCACAAUGGGCGAAAGCCUGAUGCAGCCAUGCCGCGUGUAUGAAGAAGGCCUUAGGGUUGUAAAGUACUUUCAGCCGGGAGGCGUUACCGACAGAAGAAGCACCGGCUAACUCCGUGCCAGCAGCCGCGGUAAUUC
rnacentral:rRNA from 1 species